UAGAUACCCCACUAUAAUGAGUCCAAUUUNCAUGUNGAAGCACUAAAGCCACCUUGACUAAAANUUAAAGAGCAUGGCGGCGGGCUGAAACUUCAGGGGAACUUACCCGGUAAUUGAUAACCCCCAAGAGGCGCUACGUGUUUUACUUGUUUGUAUACCGCCGUCUUCAGGUGUCGUCUAAGAUAGCACCAACUAUCUAAUUAGAAGAAAGACAGGCCAUCGUGCAGCUCAUAAUCACGGACUGGGCGAGUUACAGUUAGGCCUACUAUCAGAAGCCGAGGCUAACCACUCGGCUAAAGAUGGACUUGAAAGUAAUAGAUAAGAAAAUACUCCUUGAAUGUUGCUUUGGCCCGUGCACACNCCGCC
rnacentral:rRNA from 1 species